rnacentral:rRNA from 1 species
AUUGAACGCUGGCGGCAUGCUUUACACAUGCAAGUCGAACGGUAACAGGCCGCAUGGUGCUGACGAGUGGCGAACGGGUGAGUAAUGCAUCCGAACGUGCCCAGUCGUGGGGGAUAACUACUCGAAAGAGUAGCUAAUACCGCAUACCAUCUAUGGAUGAAAGCGGGGGACCUUAAUGCCUCGCGCCAUUGGAGCCGCUGAUGUCAGAUUAGGUAGUUGGUGGGGUAAAGGCUCACCAAGCCAACGAUCUGUAGCUGGUCUGAGAGGAGGACCAGCCACACGGGGACUGAGACACGGCCCAGACUCCUACGGGAGGCAGCAGUGGGGAAUUUUGGACAAUGGGCGCAAGCCUGCUCCAGAAAUGCCGCGUGCAGGAAGAAGGCCUUCGGGUUGUAAACUGCUUUUGUACGGAACGACACGGCUCUGGUUAAUACCCGGGGCUAAUGACGGUACCGUAAGAAUAAGCACCGGCUAACUACGUG